rnacentral:rRNA from 1 species
CCUACGGGGGGCAGCAGUGGGGAAUAUUGCGCAAUGGGCGAAAGCCUGACGCAGCGACGCCGCGUGAGGGAUGAAGGUCUUCGGAUCGUAAACCUCUGUCAGCAGGGAAGAACGGUCACUGUGCUAAUCAGCAGUGCAUUGACGGUAUCUGCAAAGGAAGCACCGGCUAACUCCGUGCCAGCAGCCGCGGUAAUACGGAGGGUGCGAGCGUUAAGCGGAAUUACUGGGCGUAAAGCGCUCGUAGGCGGUAUGUCAAGUCAAGGGUGAAAUCCCCGGGCUCAACGGGGGAACUGCCUUUGAAACUGGGAAACUGGAGUGUGUGAGAGGAUAGUGGAAUUCCAGGUGUAGGAGUGAAAUCCGUAGAUAUCUGGAGGAACAUCAGUGGCGAAGGCGACUAUCUGGCACAUAACUGACGCUGAGGAGCGAAAGCGUGGGUAGCAAACAGGAUUAGAUACCCUGGUAGUC